UACGUAGGGGCCGAGCGUUGUCCGGAUUCAUUGGGCGUAAGAGCGUGUAGGCGGCCGCUUAAGUCCAUGCGUGAAAUCUCCGGAGCCUCGAACUCCGAGCGGUCGUGGGAAACUGGGCGGCUAGAGUGCGGGAGAGGAGAGUGGAAUUCCUGGCGUAAGCGGUGGAAUGCGCAGAUAUCAGGAAGAACACCCGUGGCGAAGGCGGCUCUCGUGGAACGCAACUGACGCUGAGACGCGAAAGCGUGGGGGAGCAAACAGG
rnacentral:rRNA from 1 species